UGAAGCUGUGAAUGGCUCAUUACAACAGUUAUAAUUUAUUUGGUGGUUAAAUUACAUGGAUAACCGUGGGAAACUAAGGCUAAUACAUGCGUAAGGCUCGCAAGAGCCACAUUUAUUAGUUUAAAUCAAUACAGGUUUCUGUAUAGAAGGAAUUAUAGUAAAUGCUAGAGAUGUUAACAUCUGCACCAUUCAAGUAUCUGCCCCAUCAGCUUGUUGGUAGCGUAUUGGACUACCAUGGCGUUAACGGGUAACGGAGAAUUAGGGUUCGAUUCCGGAGAGGACGCAUGAGAGACGGCGACCAUUUCUACGGAAGGCGGAAGGCGCGUAAAUUACCCAAUCCUGACACAGGGAGGUAGUUAAUGGUCAUAACAAUUCCGGCCUAUUAGGUUCUGGAACGGUAAUGAAGGUAAUCUAAAAAAUUGCCUGAAUCCUAUUAUAGAAUAAGUCUAAUGCCAGCACUCGCGGUAAUUUUAGCUAUAAUAGCGUAAAUCAAUGUUGCUGCAAUUAAAAAGCUCGUAGUUGAAUUUCCGGCGUGUAUAAAGCGCCUGUCUGACAGGUUAGUCGGUGCCGUAGGCUCCGGCUGAACUACAGACGUUUACUGUGACAAAAAUAGAGUGCUUAAAGCAGGCUUGAGCUUGAAUAAUCUAGCAUGGAAUAAUAAAAGAGGACUUUGUUCAUUUUAUUGGUUAUUGGAUGAAGUAAUGAUUAACAGGAACAGUUGGGGGCAUCCGUACUUGAUAGUCAGAGGUAAAAUUCUUAGAUUUAUCAAAGACGAACUAAAGCGAAAGCAUUUGCCAAGAAUGUUU
rnacentral:rRNA from 1 species